rnacentral:lncRNA from 1 species
AAAAUUAUUUGUUUUUGUUUUUCUUCUGUAAAAGGUCAUAGUUCGUGACCCCAUUCUGCCAGCAUGCUUGGAGUUUUUUCUUCUUCCUCCUCGCGCGUUCUGCGCUUUUCUCCCUCCUAGCGCGCGGCGCGAGCCAGACAGACCGACGUCAGCCUGUCUGCCUUCUUCGAAGGGGAGCUGAUUGGUAGAUUUUGUUGUCAAUAUUAUAGGCCUAAUCCUUGCGUACAUUCUUUGUAAUAUAAUAUUCCUUAGAAUAAAGAGAGAGCCUGCAUCCGGAUGUGACGAGAUUGUUACUGCAUUAUGCUCAGUGGGGAAUAUUUGAAGCCACACAAUAUUGCGGAGGAUUACGGAACCAUGGACAGGAUGUGUUGACAUGGUCGUCUUCAUUGGAUUCAAGCUUCCCUGUCCUGCUCUGG